CCACAUAACCUUGCCCACCAUACACUUCCGACAACCCAACUUAACCCAAUUGUUGUUUGAGCUUUUUCGAGUUGUGGCUUGUGUCUCCUAAGGUGUUUAGGCUACUAAGGGUGGCAACUUCAACUUUGACACAUGUAUAGCCCGUCAUCCCACCUCCGCAUUGCCAAGUGCACACCACCACCACUCUCCGCUACCACCAUUUUGACAUUUGACGUUUGAGAUUUUGAGUUCGCGGUUUUUCCGUUUCCUAAGGUGUUUCGGCUACUUAGAGACGAGACUCCAUUAUCUUGGUUUCUACAUCAAGAACACCGCCACUCAUCAUCGCCAAGGACGGUAACCUCCAUAUCAUCUUGGUAUCGUGGUAUACCUCCAUUGUAUAUUCCCCUUGCCAUUGCAUUGUUAACCCCUAGCCCAUUUUGCGUUACUUGCCUAUCGAGACUAGCCAUUUGAGUAUUGCCGGCAACAUUACUUGUGCACAUUAAUGAUCAUACUUCCCAUAGCAUACAUACCAUAUCAUCGUGGUGCAUAUAUUGCUAUCAUAUCUUGUGUUACAAGUUUGUUCCCCAAUGUACACAAUUGCUAUCUUGGUUUGUGCAUUGUGCAAAGUGGCCAUACAAAAAAAAGAAAAAGAAAAACAAAUAAGCUUUUAAGCAAAGAAAAAGAAAGAGAGCAAAAAGCUUGUAAGCAAGUGCCAUAGCAUUAUACCACAUUGCAUAUAAGAUUGUCAUAUCCGAUCAUCUUGGAUCAUCUUGAGAGAAACACCGGGAACCAUACAUACAUAACAUACUUGGGAUAGAAAGUUUAUCCAUUUUGCAUCUUAUAGGUUGUGCACAAGUGUCGUAUCCGCCAAUAGAGCAAUUGUGCUAGCGUCUCUCUUGAGUUGUGCAACACGAGCGUUUUCCGUGGAUUCCACAUUUUGUGCUCAUUCCUUCAUUACACGACCCCAUUUAUCUAUCCGUGUGUGUGUUUCCGUGUACCAUUCUUUGCUAUUGGUCCAUUUGUUUCACUUGCGAAUUUGUGAAUCUCUUUCAACAUUAUUGACUCUUGCUAACAUUUUGCAUUAAAUUUUUGUGCCACUAUCCUCACCGAGCUCCUCCAUAAGCUUUACUUGUGUAGGUGUGAGAACCGACAAGGAUUGGUACCAAUCGUGCUAUUUCAUUGUCCACAUUUGAGUGAACUUGAUUCAUUGUCAACAUCGGUCAAGGUACAUUGGUAUAAGUUCUUCUCUUUCUCCCACUCAUAUUUGCUCGAGUCUUGUGAUGGAUAGGCAAGGCAUUUCAUCUCCGGUCUAUGACAACAACGAUGGCGUGAACAACUACAUCAACAAAGCGUCCAUCUUCGAUCUACAACGACAAAUACAAGGCGCACAAUCAAGAUUGCGAGAGCGCAUCGAGAACAUCUCCAUCGACAUUCUUCACUCCGAAGCAAGGAAAAGGGACUACAUCAACAAGAAGCUUUCCGCACCUAAAGAGGAGCAAGAUGCAAGGAUGGAGGAGAUUAGAGCCUUGAUCAAGUCUUCUUCCCCUUCGUCAUCUUCAAGGAGGCGACAUUCAAGACACAAGUCUUCGGAGCGCGAAAGCAAUGCAAGUGCAAAUCGUCCUCGUCCACAUCUACAUGGCGACCACCAUCACGUUCAUGAUCAACAUCGCCAUGAGGGGCAAGUCACCUCCAAGCAUCAUGUGCACGACGACGACGAACAACAUAUACUACGAGCUCAAGCACGACAACGACAUCAUCAUCAUGAAGAUGCUCCACAAGCGCAAGUGCACAAGUCCCAACAAGCCCUACUUCACGCCAAGUCGAAGCUUCAUGAGCAAAAGAGAAGACCGCGGGACGAGCACCACCAAGACGGAGCUACGGCUACCACCACCACUUCGGCAUCUUCGCCCAAGUGCUAUCAAGGCAUCUUCGCCUUUGGACAUACGACAUCUUCGCCUACUUCCAAUGAGUACACCUACAUCAACUUCAUCUAGUCCAAGGCGACCACCUACGAGCGAGGGCGACACUUCCAUCUUUGGAAGCCCCCCAAGGAGGAUGGCCGAGCAUGGGAAAUUCCCUUCGGUCAUGGAGACGAGCUACGAGGUGCCACAUCAUAUGGACCUCCAACACCAAGACGACGAUAAGAAGGUCGAGCAAGGGCCAUCCCCUUUGACCACGGCGACGAGCGCGAACCUCUUAAACAACAUGAAGACGGUGCCCAUAUUGGACUCAUACUCCGAGUCAAGCUACGCGACCGCAUAUGGAGACAUUUGCACCUACACCUCUCCGACACCCACAUAUGUCGAGAUGCCCAAUUUGUCAUGUGAGGAGAGCCACCACCCCAUGAGUGACAUGAGUGACUCCACCAUACGUGACAUUGAGAGCAUUUCCUAUGAGAGGAUGAGUGUGACCACCACUAGCCCCACACAUGAGAGCAUGCCACACAUCCUAUGUGAGGUUGAGCGCCAUUUGACUGACUCCACCAACCAUAUGAGUGAGAGCACCCUUGAGGGAGUGAGUGAGCCACAACACUUACUGAGUGAGGUAGUUGACACGGCAUGUGAGGCCACUAUGAUUUCUAACGACUUAACCUCUACUCCUAGUGUGUUUUCUUCUUUGGUGCUAGGUGUCCUACAUGACGACAUGCCUACCCUCGACGAGUCCAUCCCUCCAAUGGAGACACCGAUGGCCAUGGUGGACGAUGAUGCACCCUCCACAUGGUUCCAUCAAGAUGAAGAGGACAACGAAUGGAUCUUCGACACCUCACCUACAACACAUGAGUGAUGCCCCAAAGGUAACAUAGGUGAUGGUGCUUAUCUUGUCCCACUAGUGGACUCUCUUGACAAUGAUUGCUCCCAUGAUGUUGACCCACCUAUUACCAUGCUUCAUGCUAGUGAAACUUCUUCAUGCCUUGACUUACCUAUUUAUGAUGAAUAUGAUGAUGAGCAUGUUGAGUUGCCUAGUUGUGAUGCUAUGCUCCAUAGGAUAUCAUGUGAAAAUUCUUUUGGUCACAUCAUGUUUGACAACCCAUUGAACUUGUCAUAUGCUAUGAGUGAGAUCUCCCAUAUUGCAUCAUUUCAAUCUCAACAUAGUAACUAUGCAUGCCCCAUUAAAAUCAAUCCUAUUUGCACUUAUGGCAUAGAUGACGAGAUGAUGGUCAUGGGCUUUUGGUUUUCAUGUGAUGAUAUUGCCAUGCUUCCUUUACAUGAUUUGCGCAAUUCAUCUACUAUUCCAUGCCAUGAUCACAUUGUUCCAAAUAUGCAUUGUUUUGGAUGUUGUCAAUAUUCUCCAUGUGAUGUUUCCAUUAAUGCUCAUGAGGAGACCCCCAUAGUUUCCUCAUACAUAUUAGGAGAUCUUGAUGCAUUUCAUACUUUGCAUGAUUCCCAUGAUUGUGUACACCAUAUGCAUUCCAUGAACAACAAUGCUGUAGAUAUUUCUCAUGAUGCAUUACACAAUUUGAGUCUCCAUUAUGCGAUACAUAAUAACAAACCUCUCAUGAUGGAUGACAUGUUUCUAUAUCACGCUAACCAACACAAGCAUGUGCGCAUCAUGAUGGAUGAUGUGUACAUAUACCAUGCACACGCAAUUUUCCCUUUGUCUUUAUUUUGUGUAGGUACUCACAUAUACUCGUCAACCUCUCAAUCCCAAGAGUUGACGAAACGAGCUCUUGAGAGCAACGAUGACUUGGGAUCCCGUGGACUAUCCUUACCACCGUUCCCUUCGCGCAAGGACUACGGGCAUCUCUUCUACUUGGCUCUCACACGGCUAUGGGCUAUCUACCACUUGUCACCUAAUGCCCAUACUAUCUUGUUCACUUUGCAUGUUAUGCCUCUUUACUUGACUUUGCCAUGCAAUUGUGACCCUUGCUUGCAUUUACCCAUGAUGCACCAUUAUGAUAUUCCUAUAUGUAUUUGCAUGCUUGGCGGAGAUCCUUGUUGCUUUUUCCAUGUUUAUCAUGUGCCUCAUGCUAUUGUUGAUUCUUGUGUUGGGAGAGUCAUGAUGUUACAUUGCUAUUUACAAACUACUUGUUGCCAACACCAUGAACCUACGUUCCUCAUAUCUUGCUUUCAUGCUUGUGCUAUGACAUGUGAAUUAUUCAUGCACACUAUUUGCACCAAUGACAUGCUUGCCAUGAUUCUUCCUAGUAUGUUGCAUCUUCGCACUACUAGCUUGCUUGACUUGAUUACUAUGAUUGCUUGCUUGGUUGCAUCACCCAUGUUCCACUCUUACUCACUUUCUUGGGUUGAUGACAUAUAUGUUCAUGCCUCUCGCAUGAUAUAUCUUGAUCAUUGUCUCUUGUGUCCAUUAGUUGCCUCUCUCAUAUCCACUUGUAUUGAGUGCAACCAUACUAUGCUUAUUGAUCUUGGAGACUUGGACACUAUACUUGUGAUCCAUGCUUGUUUGAUUGAGCCUAUUGUACUUAGUUGUUCUUACAUCAUAUGCCUCCAUACUUUGAAAUGCUCCCUUGUACUUUCUUAUGAUGAGCAUGAUGCAUACACUUGUUGGGUAUCUUACCUCACGAAUGAUAGGUGUUGCAUUUGCACUAAUCUCAUUUGUUUUUCCGAGUGUUUGUCAUGUUCUUUCAUUUUGAAGGAUUCACAAGGCAUUACCGUCAUGAGACAUAUUGGUUAUGUGAAGGCAUACACGAUGUGCGACACCAACAUUUUCGACAUUCUCAUAAAGGUGAACUCCUUCCCUUUGAGCCAUCCUCAAAUACGCAUAUUGGAUGGGUCACUCUUUCAUUGUUGUUUCCUUCUUGUUGUCUACAUGACACAUCUCGCGGACGGAGGAGCGACAUUGGGGAUUGGCUCUAUGGACCUUUACAUUGAGGAGCGCUUGGACUUGGAUGCACCUUCGGACUUCCACUCAUGCCACGACAUUGAGCAUUGGUACAUCAACACUCCUUUGACACAUUGCACUCACACAUCCAUAUUUGUUGAUUGUGCUCAUACAUGUCAUGCUCGAUGGACAUAUCAUACUCACCACAAGUUUGCACCCUAUGCAUGGAUUGACUCACAUUAUGUUUGCCUUGUUGCAUCUUGUAUUGUGCCCACUAUCAAUUGCAUGAUAACAUAUACAUAUUGAGCAUCCAUUGCCAUGUGUAUGCUUUUGAUGCGCCAUCCCAUUAUGACAUCAUUUUGCACAAUGAUCACAUUCAUCAUAUUCACAACACCUUUGUGCAUGCCUCGAAUGAAUUUGCUCACAUGAAUGCUUUACAUCUCAUUCUACAUCUUUUGGAUAAGCAUCUUGUGCCUUGCCACGCACUAUCUUGCCGCACAGACUCAUUCUUACAUGAUGGACACUUUGUGUGUGGUAACCAUUGUAUUUCCGAGUGUCGCUUGUGUUUGCUCUUUUGCAUGUCUAUCACUCCGGAGACACCUUGGAGUAGUUGGAUUGCGCAACGCCUUCAUCUACGUCCGACUACAAGUCUGUCCACGACAACCAUUUCCAUGGUGAUGAGGAUCACGAUCCGAGGUCGGAUCUUUCCCAAGGGGGGGGGGAGAUGAUGCGGAGCAUCCCACGUUCAUCCUCAUGUACACUCCAACUACUCCCCAAGCCCCAAGGAUACAUAAGAUGAGACCUCGACUAUGCGCCAUUGGACACAAGGUGAACCCAUUCCUAAAUGCUUCCCCUUUCCAUUCGCAUGAGACAUGGUUGCUACUUCAAGCGCGGACUUUGUGCAUACUCAGGUACACCCGAGGAAACCAUGGAGAACCCAAGGAACAAGGCCAAGCGUGUGCAGAAGCAUGGAAGAGGAGAAGGAAGAAGAGCCAGCUGCUAUAGGCCCCGGACAUCCGGCCACAGCCCGGACAUUCGGCCAGGCCCGGACAUCUGGCCCAACCACCGGAAAUCCAGCCUCCAUCACGGAAUGCAUCUGGAGGCGACCCCGACAGCCCAGACAUCCAGUCCCGUGCCCCGAACAUCCGGCUCCUCCCGAAGCCCCGAACAUCCGGCCCUCCUCGCCGGAAAUCCGGCCCCUGGUAUCCAGAGAGAAACCGCAGGGCACCCAGGCCAGCCUGGACAUCCAGCCUCCCCACCCGGACAUCCGGCCCGUCGCGAAGCCCCGGACAUCCGGCCCCCCAUCCCGGACAUUCGGCGCCUGUCUGCGCACAGAGAACGGGCCAAGGGCCCAUGUAUCCCCCUCUCACUUAACCCUUAGUGGGCUAGCACUAUAUACACUCCCCCACCUCCUCCUAGUUAGGGUUAUCGUUGAUUUAGCUCUUUUGUGAGAUAGAGCCUCGCUCAUCCAUCGGAUCUCCUCCUCGUGAGAGACCGCAGCCUCUUCGGAGAAGAUCCACUUGGAUUCAUGACCCCUUUACGGGAAGAUCCCCUUGUGGAUUCAAGACCUCCUCUCGGAGAAGAACGGCUACCUUUGUAUCCUUCCUUUGUUGAUUUUGAAUCUUGUGCUACCUCAUGCGUUCGGUGAUCUAGCCCUUGUGUGAUCGAUACUUGUCGGUUUAGUGAUCCUCUUGUUUCUCCCCAUGUUUCCCCUUGUGUUUUCUGCGUGUUCUUCGUGUUUUCCCGUAGGAUCCACUCUAAAUGUGAAAGAUCGGCCCCUAGGGUUCCGCCCUACAUCACUUUGUGUGGAAGAUGUGGCAUCUUUGGUCUUCUUCUUAUUGAUGUUGAAGAGUCAAGACCUUGGAGACAACAAGAGCGGGUCUCGUAUCUUCAUCACAAAAGACUUGAUCAUCUUCAUCCUUGUUCACGCGCCGGUGCAUGGCCACUUUCUCAAGAGCUUCCAUUUCAUCUUCACUCAUUGAGUCGUAGGUGCCAUCGUCGUUGAGGAUCAUGGUGCGCUUGUUUGUGCAUUCAUAGGACUUGUGGCCUCGGCCGCCGCACGUGAAACACUUGAAGGAGCUUGUCUUGACGGUCUCAUCGAUCGGAGUAGAUGAAGAAGCACGCGGCUUGAAGUUGCUUGUAGGAGGAGGAAGACGACUUGAACUUGCCGGAGUUUUCUUGUAACUUGACUUCUCGUCGUUGCUUAGAUAAGGCUUGGUUGAUGUCGAAGUUGGAGUAGUUGUUGAAGCUUGGUUAUUGGAGAAGCCGUAGGUCUUGGAUGAGUACUUGGCGUAUUUUAAGUCAUCUUGCACUUGACGUUCCGCCUUUGUAGCUUGAUGCACGAGCUCAAUGAGGUUGGAGUAAGGUUGGAAGUCGGCGAUCUUCUUGAUGGGAUGAUUGAGUCCAUUCAAGAAUCGUGCCAUUGUUUGCUCAUCAUCCUCCAUGACAUUGGCUUGAAUCAUGGCAAUCUCCAUUUCCUUGCAGUAUUCUUCAACACUCUUUAUUCCUUGCUUGAGGUGUUGUAGCUUCUUGAAGAGAUCGCGGUUGUAGUAUGUGGGCACCAAACGUGCUCGCAUGACAUCCUUCAUUUGAGCCCAAGUGGUGAUUGGAGGUUCACCUCUUGCUUGUCGGUGCUCAAGGACUUGUUCCCACCAUAUGAGCACAUAGUCUUGGAACUCAAGUGAUGCCAUAGCGAUCUUCUUCUCUUCCUCAUAGUUGUGCAAACGAAAGAUUUUGUCGACCUUCAAUGCCCAUGAGAGGUACUCUUCAGGAUCAUUGCUUCCAUUGAACUUGGGCAUUGUGAAUUUGAGCUUGCCAUAGCGUUGCUCUUCAUUGUGUUGUUGGCGAUGGUGAUGAUGACGCCCUUGACGUGGAGGGUACUCAUCCUCAUGUUGCUCUUGGCAUGGAUGAAGUCCAUGAUCAACUUGCUCUUGUUGAACUUGAGGUUGAGGUGGAGCUUGACGUUGUACGCGUGGAUGGUAGUUCCUCUCUUGGAUUUCUUUUCUAAGGGCUUCCUCUUGAUUGCACCGUUCGCGAUUGCGGUUGGCGAUGGCUCGACUUGAUUCUUGAAGGGCACGUUCUGCCUCAAGAGCUUGUGCUUCUCGUUGUUGUUGUUGAAGACGUUGAGCCUCGGCGUCUUGUUGCUCUUGGUGUAGACGCGCUCGUUCUUCCUCUUGGCGCCGUAGUCGUUGUCAUUCUUGAGCUUGAGCAAAAGCGACUUGGUUUGAUUGAGGAUGAGGUACUUGCUCAUCGGCUUGCUCUUGUCAAUGCUUGACGUGUAGCAGGUUGCGAGAUGCAUGACAGUCUUAACGCGCGGCUCGUCGAAGAGUGUUCGAAGGUGGUGUACUUGAGCCAGAGAAGGAAUUGUCGGAGUGUCGACUUGAGUGGCUCCAUCUUGAGUAUGAUGAUGUAGAAGGAGGCCGGUUCACCAACAAGGCACGGAUCUCGUCCAUUCUUGCAUCGUUCUCUUGCUUGUGCGCGUCGAGCUUGUUGUCUAAGUAGUCGCCUGUACGUUGCUCGGAGAGUCACAAGUCGGUGGCGAGGUUGUCGAUGCGGUUAUUCAUUGAUUGUUGCUCUUGAUGCAACGCUCGUUGUGCACCAAAGAGGUGGCUCUUGGUGACGUAUGAUGACAUGUCGUCGUCUUGCUCGAUGAAGAGUGGAUUGGUAGAAGUACUUGGCCUAUCCAUCAUUUCAAGCAAAAUGUGAGUGGUAGAAGGAGAAGAACUUAUACCAAUGUACCUUUGACCGAUGUUGAUGAUGAAUCAAGUUCACUCAAAUGCGGACAAUGAAAUAGCACUAUCGGUACCAAUUCUUGUCGGUUCUCACACCUACACAAGUAAAAGCUUAUGCUGGAGCUUGGUUAGGAUGGUGGCACAAAAUUUGAUGCAAUUGAAAGCAAGAUUCAAUAAUGUCGGAAAAGAUUCACAAAUUUGCAAAUGCAAUAAGUAGAUCAAGCAAGUAGGGGUACACGGAAACACACACGCAAAUAGAUAAAUGGGAUUGUACAAACCAAAAGUGAGCCAAAAUGUGGAAUCCACGAAAAUGCUCUUGUUGCACGAUACUAGAGAGACGCUAGCACGAUUGUAGAAUAGGCGGAUACGGAGCUUGUGCACAACCUACUAGGCAAAAAUGCAACGAUCUCUAUCCCAAGUAUGCUAUAUGUAUGGUAUUUCGGUGCUAUGAUCCAAGAUGAUCUUAUGUGACAAUCUUAAUGUAGUAUGAUGCUAUGGUUCUUGCUUAUAAGCUCUUUGCUUAUCUUUUCUCUUUGGUUAAAAGCUUGGGUGGCUCUUUCACUUUUGAGCUCUUUUCUCAUGCAAAACUUCACGAACCAAGAUAGCAAUUGUGUAUGCUAUGACAACUUUGUGGCACACAAGUUGAUUCCAAGAUAUGCACCACGGUGUUAUGGUAUGUAUGCUAUGGAGUAUGAUCACUAAUGUGCACAAGUCACGUUUCCGGCAAUACUCAAUGGCUAGUCUCGAUGGGUAAGCUACACAAAAGUAAGGCCAUGUGGGGUAUCAAUGCAAUUGCAAGUUAUGACAAAGAUGUCGUCGAAGUUACCGUCCUUGGCGAUGUUGAGUAGUCGAUGGAGGUGAGCGGUGGUGAUGGUGACAUCGAACCGUACCUAUAUAGCCGAAACACAAUAGGACACGGGAACCACAACUCAAAAUUUCAAAGACCAAAACGUGUCAAAAUCGACAUAGGAGGUAGCUGUGAGCGGUGGUGGUGUUUGUGGAAACGUUGGGAGUUUGGGGAAGUAAGCGUGGGUACCGGGGCAAAAUUGGGGGAAAGUAUGCGGAAAAGGGCGUGGGGGUGGAGUUGCUGCUUCCAGGGGCCGGAUGUCCGGGGCGCCGGAUGUCCGGUGGACACGGGGCGGAUGUCCGGGCUCUGGAUCGGGGACGAACACGAUGAACUCCACGGGGAAAAUUGCAACUUCGGGGUAAAAUUCGGACAAAUUGGUGGAUGGAAAAGGGUAGGGAGGGUGGGGAAAGCUAGAUCCACACGCAGCAACACAAAUCCAUGGACCAAAUCCAACCAAAUUUCCUCACACCAACAAAUCACAAAAAAAAUUUGGGGCUAUUUUUGGUGGGGAUUUUUGGAUUUAGGACGAAAACAACAAAAUCAAGCUAGAAAACAUGGGGUAGGGACUCCAAAAACGUGAUCAACGUGGCUCAUGAUACCAAGAUGAUGUAGGGCGGAACCCUAUGGAAUCGAUCUUUCACGUUUGGAGUGGAUCCUACGGGGAAUCACAAAGAACAUGCGGAAAACACAAGGGGAAACACGGGGAGAAACAAGAGAAUCACUCAACCGACAAGUAUCGAUCACACAAGGGCUAGAUCACCGAACACAUAGGGUAGCACGAGAUUCGAAAUCAACAAAGGAAAGAUACACGAGUAGCCGUUCUUCUCCAUGAGGAGGUCUUGAUGGUCUUCCCUUGAAGGGGUCUUGAAUCCGCUUGGGGGAUCUUCUCCGAAGAGGUCGUGAGCUCCGAGGAGAACUAUCCAAGUGGAUGAGCAAGGCUCUCACACAAAUAUGAGCUAAACCAAUGCUAACCCUAGAAAGAGGAAGGGGAAGGAGUAUAUAUAGUCUAGGGGGGCAAAGAGGUACAUGGGCUUCGGCCCUUUACUAUGCGUAGACAGGCGGGGCCAGAUGUCCGGGCGUCGGGCCGGAUGUCCGGGCCUUCCGGAGGGGCCGGAUGUCCGGGCCAAGUCGCCGGAUGUCCGAGCUGGAGGCGAUAGCUUCUGUAGUUCCUGGAGCGUGGCGCCGGAUUUCCGGGACUUUUGCCGGAUUUCCGUGCUGUGGCCGGAUGUCCGGGCCGGACAUCGUCCGGCCCUGUAGACUUGGCCAGCUCGGCUGUUGUUGAUGGAGACGCUCCAGGGGCCGGAUGUCCGGUGCCUUGGCCGGAUGUCCAGGGCCUGGAACGUGAACUUGCCCAUUUCAGUUGGUUCUCUUCAUCCGUGGAGUUGGCGGCUUGUCCGUCUUCACGUGCAUCCUCGGGAGGUUCCUCUUGACACCUAAUCAUGCAUAGUAUAUCGGAUUUAGGUAGUAGCCAUGUCUCGAGUGGAUCAUAUGUGAUAUCACUAAGGAGAGAAGUCACCUCGGUCUUGAGAGUUCGAGCUCAUGCUCUAGUCAUGGGUCCUCUUGGUGCUUGGUGAGGCGACGGAAGGUCCAUGGGGAUGACCGAAGGAUGCUCCGCAUCACUUGUUCUUCGAUUGCUCGCAGGAAAUAGACCCUCGUUGAUGAGGACAUCAAUACCAUUGUUACACCCACAGCCCCUACGGCUACAUAUAAUGGACCAAUUACUAGAGCUCGCGCACGCCAAUUAAAUUAUCAGGUACUUUCGUUUCUUGGUAAUGAUUCUAAUGUUCAUGAGAAUAUGAUGCUGCCUAAAUUGGAUACAUUUGUUUUGCUUACAAAUGAAGGGCCUAGCUUGGAGAAGGAUGGACAUUGGAGCACGAACAAGAACGGAGUUACAAGUGAUGAUUUCAGGACUUUGAAGCCACCAUAAUGGGUGCAUGAAGCCUUGGACGAAAUAUACAAGAUGCCACUUCAUAAAUUGCGUCCCGAGGCUAUUCUAGGUGUUGUGUCAUCUUAUUAUUGGGUCAGGCCCAUGUAAUUUCGAAAUACAUAAGUAUAGGCUGUUUUUAGAGUCUGUAUGUGUGGGGAAACAAGAGAUAGGGUUGAUUUCGGACCCCUCCACCAAGGGCCACGAAAUUCCCCCCUCUUCCUUCAUAUAUAUAGCCCUUAGGGCACCGUUUAGACUUUGGGUUUUGUUUAGAUUAAAGUUCGCCAUAGCUGCAACUUCGCGUACUUCGUUUGUGUUCAACGACCAGACAAAGGCGUCACAGAACCCCACCUUGAUCAAUAAAGCUUUCAUCUUAUAUUCGCAAUAUCCAGAUUGCAAUCUCAGUUUCUUGCUUGUUCUUCGUUUGCUCGCAGGAAACAGAACCUCGUGGUCAGGUUGAUCGUGCUCCGGCGUGGUCAAUAACCUCUCGGAGUUGGUUUAGCGAUUGCUAAGGCGCGAUGUCCUCGCACGUUCGUAGUCGGAUCAUCAAAGUUGACUUCCACCAAAGCGAUAUCCAUCAUCUCAUCGAAAGACGGGACACCUUUGCCUCUAUCAAGUGGUAUCAGAUUCCAGGUUGGUCGGUGAGAUUUUAUAGUUUUUCGUAGUUUAGAUCGAGUCUGUUCUUCAUACCUAUAGUCCAUGAAAAUGCCAAAAAAAAUUAGGGUUAGUUCAUCCCAUCCGAACCAAUCUGAGCCGUUGCAUAAUCUUUUCUGUAUUUGCUUUGUUGAAUUUGCGGUUGCAUCGUCGUGUCAAGUUGCUGGUCUUAGCGUCUAGUCCUUUAGAGUUUCGAGUUCUGUUCACAGGUUGUCACGUCGCCGCUGCCAUAUAUCACCACCGCAUCAUCAUCGUCGUUGCUGCCUUAUACCACCACCACAUAUUCACCGCCAAUCCGAGUCCAUAUACGCCACCACAUAUCCGCCACCAUCACACCAAUCCGAGUCCACCUGCAACAUAUAUCCGCCACCAGUCCGAGUUCCACAAGAUUCAUCUCCGCCACCAGUCCUAGUUCCACCAGUUUCAUCUCCGCCACCAGUCCUAUUCCGAGUCCAGUAUUUUGUUACUCUGUUUUGGAUUUCCAGAUCACGUCAUACUCUGAGUUGUUACAGAAAAGGACUCCCCAACUUCCGUGCUACCCGUAGUAGAGAAAUAGUUCCAAACUCAAAAAAAAACUAAGUCUGGAAAAUUCUGGCAAGGCAGUUUUUAGACCAUAUGUAGACUUUUUCGAAAAAAAUUCGGUGCGGAGCAAAAAAAAGAGGAAAAAAGAAGUGCAGAAAAGGGAAAAAAAGAGAAAAAAAAUUCCGAGUGUGCUCCUCCCUUGUUUACGUGCCGCGCCGUGAUUUUGUUGGUGUUCUAGGCUCGCGUCUCUAGCACAGUCUAGCCUAGGACCAGCACAGUACCGUCGUUGAGCGUUUAUUCAACUUUGCAUCUCUGAAUUGAUUAUUGCUGACCCUUUUUGCUACCAUAUUAUAAGCCUUCCCAGCUCCACAGACAUCUACGUCGUGCGUUUGACUCUCCCUGGUAAUUGCUCUAUCCAAACUUUGAGUGUUUUGACUACAAUGGUUGCCGAUCACCGCCUGCUGCUGGGUAAGAACUGGUAAGAAUUUGAGAUUUGCUUGACGGAUUUGUGACACCCACCAACACCUCUUGUUAGUAGUCUGUAGGAUCAUAUUCUUGUGUGUUUCUAUUGCUGCUAACUGAUGAGGACAUGGCUACCACAGUUACACCUAUAUCCCCCACUGUUUUACCUCUUGGAACAGUUGCUAGAGCUCAGAUACGCCAAUUAAAUUAUCAGGUACUUCCGUUUCUUGGUAAUGUUUCUAACGUUCAUGAGAAUAUGAUGCUGCCUAACAUAGAUACAUUUGUGUUGCUUGCAACUAAAGGGCCUAGCACGGACAAGAAGGUUGAACAUUGGAGCAUGGUCAAGCACGGAGAUGAAGGUGCGUGCGAAGAGAACAAGAACGGAGGUUCAAGUGGAGAUUUCCGGACUUUGAAGCCACCAUGAUGACAUACAAGAUGGUGGACGAAAUAUACAAGACGGCCAUUCAUAAAUUUCGUCCAUAGCUUAUUAUUGGUGUUGCGCCACCUUAUUUUGGGCUAGGCCCAUGUAAUAUAUUUUUAGAGUCCAAAUUGUAGGGAAAACGACUUAGGAGGUGUUUUAGUCCCACCUUGCCAAGGAUGGACAAAAUCCCCUCUCUUUUCCCUAUAAAUAUAGCCCUUAAGGCAUCGUUUAGACUUGGGUUUUAUUUAGUUAAAAGUUAGCCAUAGAUGCAACUUCGUGUACUUCGUUUGUGUCCAACGACCAGACCAAGACCGCUUAUGAAACCCCACUUUUAUCAAUACUUCAUCCAUACUCGCAAUAUCCAGAUUGCUUAAUCAUAUUCUUGCUUGUUCUUCGAUUGCUUGCAGGAAUAGACCUUCGUGGUCAGGUUGAUCGUGCUCCAGCGUGGUCAAUAACCUCUCGGAGUUGGUUUAGCGAUUGCUAAGGCGCAACGUCGUGCACGUUUGUAGUCGGAUCAUCAAAGUCGUCUCCACAAAAUCGAUAGUUAUCAUCUCAUUGAAAGAUCGGGACACCCCGCCUCUAUCAAGUGGUAUCAGUUUCCAGGUUGCUCGGUGAGAUUCUCCAGUUUUUCGUAGUCUAGAUUGCAUCUGUUCUUCAUACCAAGAGUCCAAGAAAAGCCAAAAAAAGUUAGAUUAGUUCAUCCGUGUCCCAGACAGUCUGAGCCUUUCGCCAUUAUCACUUAGUUUUUGUUUUGUUGAAUUUUCGAUUACAUCGUGUGUCGAGUCGCUGGUUUUAGUGUCUAGUCUUUUAGAGUUUCGAGUUCUAGUCACAUUUUAUUCACGUCGCAUCCGCUCACACCAUCGUCCACUUCAUUGUGAUGUUUCUUUGCCCCUAAUUUUGUUCGCCACUAUUGUCGCUAUCACCACCAUUCAUCCGCUGUUGGCGUUCAUCGCUGUCUUGGAGCAUCAUUCAUCUCGAGGAGAGAAACAAUUGAGAAAUUUUUUGAUAGAGGCAAAGGUGUCCCGUCUUUCGAUGAGAUGAUGGAUAUCGCUUUGGUGGAAAUCGACUUUGACGAUCCGACUACGAACGUGCGAGGACGUCGCGCCUUAGCAAUCGCUAAACCAACUCCGAGAGGUUGUUGGCCACGCCGGAGCACGAUCAACCUGACCACGAGGGUCUGUUUCCUGCAAGCAAACGAAGAACAAGCAAGAAACUAAGAUUGCAAUCUGGAUAUUGCGAAUAUAAGAUGAAAGCUUUAUUGAUCAAGGUGGGGUUCUGCGACGCCUUUGUCUGGUCGUUGAACACAAACGAAGUACGCGAAGUUGCAGCUAUGGCGAACUUUAAUCUAAACAAAACCCAAAGUCUAAACGGUGCCCUAAGGGUUGUAUAUAUGGAGGAAGAGAGGGGGAAUUUCAUGGCCCUUGGUGGAGGGGUCCGAAAUCAGCCCUAUCUCUUGUUUCCCCACACAUACGGACUCUAAAAAUAGCCUAUACUUAUGUAUUUCGAAAUUACAUGGGCCUGGCCCAAUAAAAAGGUGACGCAGCACCUAUAAUAGCCUCUGGACGAAAUUUAUGAAGUGACAUCUUGUAUAUUUCGUCCAAGGCUUCAUGCACUCGUUAUGGUGGCUUCAAAGACCUGAAAUCAUCACUUGUAACUCUGUUCUUGUUCCCCUUGCACAUGCCAUCAUCUCCAUGCUUGUUCUUGCUCCAAUGUUCAUCCUUCUCCAAGCUAGGCCCUUCAUUUAUAAGCAAAACAAAUGUAUCCAAUUUAGGCAGCAUCAUAUUCUCAUGAACAUUAGAAUCAUUACCAAGAAAUGAAAGUACCUGGUAAUUUAGUUGGCCUGCGCGAGCUCUAGUAAUUGUUCCAGUAUGUAUAGUAGCAGGGGCUGUGGGUGUAACAAUGGUAUUGAUGUCCUCAUCAAAUUUCAAGCAAAAAAGAAAUCUUUUUGGCGAAUAUUGAUCCCGUAGGUGCUUUUGGAGAGCGAGACCAAGAGAUAAAAGAAUCCAGAUUUGUUUGAUCCACGAGGCAAAAAAAACCAGGAAGGAAAGGGCACUUGCAUUGGAGUUUGGAUCUUGACAAAAAAAAAGGAAAAGAGGGAGUUGUGUCACGUGAGGAAGGUCUAAAGAGAGUACAAGGGCGUUCGGAAAGCUGUGCUGCCAAGAAAAGUACUAACCAUCACGUCACCUGCUCCUUGGAGAUCGCAACAAAAAAAAUAGAGCAAAAAAAGGGACAUGAGGAUCUAUUCAGAACGGAAAGAGAGAGAGUUUGUUGGAAAGUUUGGAUAUUCUUUUAUUUCGAAUCAACUCUCAGGAAAAUAGAUCAGACCGAAUCCUUCUUGAAAGGCAACUUGGAUCAGCCGCAUAAAAAAAAGAAGGAACAAUAUUUCGUUUGGAUCUUUGAGAAAAAUCAAUAAGAAAAGUUUGAGCGUCCAAAAAAAAAAGGAUUACAGAUCCGUACUAGUUUCCCUUUAAAUCAGCACUAGGAUGUUGCUGAUUUGGAAAGCUAGAUUCGUGGCUAUCCUUUGAGAUAUUUGCCACGUUUUUGAAUUUGGCAAGAAAUAAAAGAGCAAGUAAUCACGUUUCGCUUGGUAAGGAAAGUGCUAAUCGGUUUUUGUUUGAAAGGAUCUUGAUGAUUGAGUCAAAAGAGAGAGAAAAAGGCAAGUAAGAUCAGCCAUAAAAAACGUGAAGAGUGCCUAGUUUGAGGCUGUUCACGUCAGGUUUGGAAGGUGCUAAAAACAGAAUCAUUUUUUAUUGAAAGGCAACUGGUAAUCGGUCUGGUUGGCAGCCAAUUUUGUUGGGCAGUUCGCUAUUAAAAAAAUAUACAAGGAAGGGCGUGAAUUGUGUGCUACUAUUUGGAAAGUAAUACGCAAAAAAAGAAUAGAUUUGGCAUCUUCGGAUCUGGGUAUCCUACUGUCGAACGUUGAUGUUUUAAAAGCAGGAGCAAAAUCCAUUACGGGAGAAGUGGAGAUCGCAGCAAAAAAAGAAAGGAGAGAAGAAAACGUUUACAAGAAAAGUGUGAGCGCUUGAUCCUUUUUUGAGUUGAGAGAAGAAGGAAAGAGUUUGGUUCGCCAGGAAAUAAAAAGCAAAACGUGAGGGAGAGAUUGACUUUGAGAAAAGGGAUUUAAAAGGAAAGAGAAGGCGCAGAUUAGCUCUCAUGGAAAUCCCGAAAUAAUAGGCUGGGAUUUUUUUUUCUCGCUCAGUUUAAAAGAAGGAAACAAGAAAAGGGCGUUACAUCCGGAUUGGAUUUUUUUUCGGAGAGAGAAGGCAUUUCUUAAGAGAAAGAGUGAGUUUUAAAAAAAAGUGCGGAGAAAAAAAAGCAAGAGAGAAGUUCGCUGGGUGCAACACCUGAGGGAAACAAGUUUGAGGUUAAAAAAAAUAGUGGAGAGAGCAGCAACACCGAAUAUUUGGAGAAAUCAUACAUGCUAGUAGUUCUAGCUUGACGAGUUAAUUUGGUACGAUCGGCUGAAGAAAAAAAGGAGGGAUUACCUGGUGGUAGAAGAGAAGAGAUAUACUGGUGCUAGUACUUCCUGGUUGUUGUGUCGCUCAUAAGUUUUGUUGCAUCUUGCGUUUGCACGUGAAUUUCACUUGUGUCUUAGGCUCGCGUCUCUAGCACAGUCUAGCCUAGGACCAGCACUCGACCACUUUGAACGGAUUUUCAGCUUGCAUUAAUUCAUGUGGUUGUAGCAUUUUUUCCACAUACAUAAAGAUAACCUAGCUCCACAUAUUUCUACACCGUGCAUUUUUUCCGCCUUUGCUAGCCUCUUCGGUACCGUGCAUUGCCCUUUCUCACCUUGAGAGUUGGUGCAAACUUCGCUGGUGCAUCCAAACCCCGUGAUACGAUAUGCUCUAUCACACAUAAACCUCCUUAUGUCUUCCUCAAAACAGCCACCAUACCUACCUAUCAUGGCAUUUUCAUAGCCAUUCCGAGAUAUAUUGACAUGCAACUUCCACCAUCAUCAUCGUGACAUGCAUUACUUUUGUCAUAUUGCCAUUGCAUGAUCUUGUAGUUGACAUCGUAUUUGUGGAAAAGCCACCAUGCAUUAUUUUACAUGCAUGUCACUCUUGAUUCAUUGCACCAUCCCGGUACACCGUCGGAGGCAUUUAUAUAGAGUCAUAUCUUGUUCUAGUAUCGAGUUGUAAUCCUUAUGUUGUAAUCUAUAGAAGUGGGAUGAUCAUCAUUAUUAGAGCAUUGCCCAAAACAAGAGAAAGGCCAAAAAAGAGAAAGGCCCAAAAAAAUAAUAUAAAAAGGGCAAUGCUACUAUCUCUUUUUCCACACUUGUGCUUCAAAGUAGCACCUUGUUCUUCAUGUAGUGAGUCUCAUAUAUUGUGCUUUAAAGUAGCACCUUGUUCUUCAUGUAGUGAGUCGCAUAUAUUGUGCUUCAAAGUAGCACCAUGUUUUUCAUAUAGUGAGUCUCAUAAGUUGUCUUGUUAAUACUAGUGGGAAUUUUUCAUUAUAGAACUUGGCUUGUAUAUUCCUACGAUGGGCUUCCUCAAAAUGCCCUAGGUCUUCAUGAGCAAGCAAGUUGGAUGCACACCCACUAGUUUUCUUUUGUUGAGCAUUCAUAGCUCUAGUGCAUCUGUUGCAUGGCAAUACCUACUCCUUGCAUUAACAUCAAUCGAUGGGCAUCUCCAUAGCUCAUUGAUUAGCCUCGUUGAUGUGAGACUUUCUCCUUUUUUUUCUUCUCCACACAAUCCCCAUCAUCAUAUUCCAUUCCACCCGUAGUGCUAUAUCCAUGGUUCACGCUCAUGUAUUGCGUGAAGGUUGAAAAAGUUUGAGAUUAUUUAAGUAUGAAACAACUUCUUUGCUUGUCAUUGGGGGUAUAGAAGUUGGGAACAUCUUUGUGUGACGAAAAUGAAGCAUAGCCUAACUAUAUGAUUUUUUAGGGAUGAACUUUCUUUUGCCAUGUUAUUUUGAGAAGACAUGAUUGCUUUGAUUAGUAUGCUUGAAGUAUUAUUAUUUUUGUGUCAAUAUGAACUUUUGUCUUGAAUCUUUCGGAUCUGAAUAUUCAUAUCACAAGUAAGAAGAAUUACAUUGAAAUUAUGCCAAGUAGCACUCCGCAUCAAAAAUUCUUUUUUAUCAUUUACCUACUCGAGGACGAGCAGGAAUUAAGCUUGGGGAUGCUUGAUACGUCUCCAACGUAUCUAUAAUUUUUGAUUGCUCCAUGCUACUUUAUCUACUGUUUUAGGCAAUAUUGGGCUUUAUUAUCCACUUUUAUAUUAUUUUUGGGACUAACCUAUUAACCGGAGGCCCAGCCCAGAUUUGCUGUUUUAUGCCUAUUUCAGUGUUUCGAGGAAAAGGAAUAUCAGACAGAGUCAAAACGGAACGAAAUCAACUAGAGAAGUUAAUUUUGGAAGGAAACCAACCUGAUGGGCUUGGAGUGCACGCCAAGGGAGUCCCGGGCUGCCCACGAGGGUGGAGGGUGCGCCCUCCCCCCUGGGCGCGCCCCCCUACCUCGUGAGCAGCCCAGAGGUCCACCGACGUACCCCCUGCACCCAUAUAUACCCACGUACCCUAAAACUUCCAGAACAGAAGAUAGAUCGGGAGUUUCGCCGCCGCAAGCCUCUGUAGCCACCAAAAACCAAUCGGGACCCUGUUUCGGCACCCUGCCGGAGGGGGAUCCCAUCACCGGUGGCCAUCUACAUCAUCCCGGCACUAUCCAUGACGAGGAGGGAGUAGUUCACCCUCGGGGCUGAGGGUAUGUACCAGUAGCUAUGUGUUUGACCUCUCUCUCUCUCGUGUUCUUGAGGUGAUACGAUCUUGAUGUAUCCCGAGCUUUGCUAUUGUAGUUGGAUCUUAUGAUGUUUCUCCCCCUCUACUCUCUUGUGAUGAAUUGAGUUUCCCCUUUGAAGUUAUCUUAUCGGAUUGAGUCUUUAUAAGAACACUUGAUGCAUGUCUUGCCGUGAUUAUCUGUGGUGACAAUGGGAUAUCAUGUGCCACUUGAUGUAUGUUUUGGUGAUCAACUUGCGGGUUUCGUGACAUUGGGAACCUAUGCAUGGGGGUUGGCACACGUUCUUGACUCUCCGGUAGAAACUUUGGGGCACUCUUUGAAGUACUUUUAUGUUGGUUGGAUGAAUCUGAGAUUGUGUGAUGCAUAUCGUAUAAUCAUGCCCACGGAUACUUGAGGUGACAAUGGAGUAUCUAGGUGACAUUAGGGUUUUGGUUGAUUUGUAUCUUAAGGUGUUAUUCUAGUACGAACUCUUUUAUAGAUCUAUCCGAAAGAAUAACUUUGAGGUGGUUUUGUACCCUACCAUAAUCUCUACGUUUGUUCUCCACUAUUAGUGGCUUCGGAGUGACUCUUUGUUGCAUGUUGAGGGCUUGUUAUAUGAUCUAUCUAUGUUAUUAUUGUUGAGAGAACUUGCACUAGUGAAAGUAUGAACCCUAGGCCUUGUUUCCUAUCAUUGCAAUACCGUUUACGCUCACGUUUAUCACUUGUUACCUUGUUGUUUUUAUUAUUUCAGAUUACAAAUACCUUCAUCUACCAUCCAUAUUGCACUUGUAUCACCAUCUCUUCGCCAAACUAGUGCACCUAUACAAUUUGCCAUUGUAUUGGGUGUGUUGGGGACACAAGAGACUUUUUGUGAUUUGGUUGAAGGGUUGUUUGAGAGAGACCAUCUUCAUCCUACGCCUCCUACGUAUUGAUAAACCUUAGGUCAUCCACUUGAGGGAAAUUUGCUACUGUCCUACAAGCAUGUGCACUUGCAGGCCCAACAACGUCUACAAGAAGAAGGUUGUGUAGUAGACAUCACUGAUGCGGAGGAGGAUGAUUAUGUGGGAGAUUACAAGGAUGAGGUUGAUCAAAAUCAGAACUACGUGCAACCACCUGCACCACAACCACCAGGUUGUCCACAUGCAAAUAAUCACAAUGGUAGGGCUCUCCCUCAGGUACAAGAUCAUGACCAUCUUCAUGAACUGAAAUUGAAUAUUCCACCAUUUGAGGGUAGAUAUGUUCCCGAUAUAUAUCUUACUUGGGAGUUAGAAACUGAACAACGAUUUACAUGUUCACAAUAUCCUGAGGAGAGACAGGUUGCCGCUGCUAUUUGUGCUUUCACUAGUUUUGCAUGUGUAUGGUGGUCUGAACAUUGUAGAUUAUAUCCUAUUCCAACUACUUAGGCUGCUUUGAAAACUGCUAUGCGUACUCGUUGGGUUCCACCAUAUUAUCAACGUGAAUUGCUUCAAAAAUUGCAGCAUUUAAGACAAGGGAAAAAUUCUGUAGAAGAAUAUUAUCAGGAAUUACAAACUGGCAUGAUUAGAUGUGGUAUUGUUGAGAAGAAUGAAGCUAUGCUUGCACGUUUUAUGGGUGGAUUAAAUAGAGAGAUUCAGACCAUUCUAGAGUAUAGGAAGUAUACUAAUAUCACUCGUUUAUUCCAUCUUGCUUGCAAAGCUGAACGUGAAGUACAGGAUCGACAAGCAUUGGUGCGAACUAACUUUUCUGCAGGCCGACCUUCAUCAUGGACACCGCGUGCAUCUUCUACUUCCACUGCACUAGCACCUCUGUCAGGUGCCACCUACAGUCGUGAUACAAGAAAGCACGCACAACCACCAUUAUCUGCCAAGAGCGCACCUGCCGGGCCUCCACAGAGUUCUUCUUCUUCCAUGGCAUCAACAGGGAACACAAGGGAUAUUAUUUGUCGUCGUUUUAAGGGAAUAGGUCAUUAUGCGAGAGAAUGCAAAUCUCAGCGUGUGAUGAUUGCUACUGAGGAUGGUGGGUAUGAGUCCGCUAGUGACUAUGAUAAGGAGACUUUGGCUCUUAUUACACGUGAAGAACAUGGUGGAGAUGAUUCUGAUCAUGAGACGCAAUACAUGGCUCCUGAAGACGCUGACAGGUAUGAAUGUUUAUUUGCUCAAUGUGUUUUGAGUGUGCAGGUCACACAAGCUGAGAAAAAUCAGAGGCACAAUUUGUUCCAUACAAAGGGAGUUGUGAAAGAACGUUCUGUGCACGUCAUCAUAGACGGUGGGAGCUGCAACAACUUGGCUAGCAUGGAGAUGGUGGAGAAGCUUUCUCUCACCACAAGACCACAUCCACGUCCUUACUACAUCCAAUGGUUCAACAAUAGCGGCAAGGUUAAGGUAACACGUACUGUUCGUGUGCAUUAUAGUAUCUCUACAUAUGCUGAUUAUGUUGAUUGUGAUGUGGUACCUAUGCAAGCAUGUUCCUUAUUACUUGGUAGACCAUGGCAAUUUGAUAAAAAUUCUGUACACCAUGGUAGAAACAAUCAUUAUACUCUUGUUCAUAAGGAUAAAAAUAUUACUUAGCUUCCUAUGACUCCUGAUUCCAUUUUGAAAGAUGAUAUUAAUAGAGCUAAUAAAGGAAAAUAGGAGAAAAAUAAGAGUGAAAAUCAGAUUGUGGCAAAGGAAUUUGAGCAACAAAUGAAGCCUAAUAGUAAACCAUCUAGUGUUGCUUCUGAAAUUAAAUUGAAAAGUGCAUGUUUACUUGCCAUUAAAUCUGAUAUUGAUGAGCUAGAUUUCAGCAAAUCUGUUUGCUAUGCUUUUGUGUGCAAAGAUGCAUUAUUUUCAUUCGAGGACGUGCCUUCCUCUUUGCCUCCUGCUGUCACUAACAUUUUGCAGGAGUUCGCUGACGUCUUUCCACAAGACGUGCCACCGGGAUUACCUCCCAUUCGAGGGAUUGAGCAUCAGAUUGACUUAAUUCCCGGUGCAUCAUUACCCAACCGUGCACCGUACCGUACCAAUCCAGAGGAGACGAAGGAGAUUAUGCGUCAAGUACAGGAGCUGCUCGACAAAGGUUAUAUACGCGAAUCCCUUAGUCCUUGUGCCGUUCCUAUUAUUCUAGUGCCGAAAAAGGAUGGUACAUCACGUAUGUGUGUUUAUUGUAGAGGCAUUAAUAAUAUUACUAUUCGUUAUCGUCAUCCUAUUCCUAGGCUAGAUGAUAUGCUUGAUGAAUUGAGUGGCUCUACAAUAUUCUCCAAAGUUGAUUUGCAUACUGGAUACCAUCAAAUUCGUAUGCAAUUGGGAGAUGAAUGGAAAACAACAUUUAAAACUAAGUUUGGAUUAUAUGAGUGGUUAGUCAUGCCUUUUGGGUUAACUAAUGCACCUAGUACUUUCAUGAGAUUAGUGAACGAAGUUUUACGUGCUUUCAUUGGACGAUUUGUGGUAGUUUACUUUGAUGACAUAUUGAUUUAUAGCAGAUCUUUGGAAGAACAUUUGGAACAUUUACGUGCUGUUUUUAUUGCUGUACGUGAUGCACGUUUGUUUGGUAACCUUGGGAAGUGCACCUUUUGCACCGACCGAGUAUCUUUUCUUGGCUAUGUUGUUACUCCACAGGGAAUUGAAGUUGACAAAGCCAAGAUUGAAGCUAUUGAGAGUUGGCCGCAGCCCAAAACGGUCACACAAGUGAGGAGUUUUCUUGGCCUCGCUGGAUACUAUAGGCGUUUUGUGAGAGAUUUCAGCACCAUUGCUGCACCUCUCAACGAGCUUACAAAGAAGGAUGUACCUUUUGUUUGGGGUACCGCACAGGAAGAAGCCUUCACGGUAUUGAAAGUAAGUUGACACAUGCUCCUUUACUCCAACUUCCUGAUUUUAAUAAGACUUUUGAGCUUGAAUGUGACGCUAGUGGAAUUGGAUUAGGAGGUGUGUUAUUAAAAGAUGGCAAACCUGUUGCAUACUUUUCUGAAAAAUUGAGUGGGCCUAGUAUGAAUUAUUCUACUUAUGAUAAAGAAUUAUAUACUCUUGUUUGGACUUUAGAAACAUGGCAACAUUAUUUAUGGCCCAAAGAAUUUGUUAUACAUUAUGAUCAUGAAUCUUUGAAACAUAUUAAAAGUCAAGUUAAACUGAAUCGUAGACAUGCUAAAUGGGUUGAAUUCAUUGAGACUUUCCCCUAUGUCAUUAAACACAAGAAUGGUAAAGAAAAUGUUAUUGCAGAUGCAUUGUCUCGUCGCUAUACUAUGCUUUCACAACUUGACUUCAAAAUAUUUGCUUUGGAGACCAUCAAAGAUCAAUAUGUGCAUGAUGCCGAUUUUAAAGAUGUAUUGCAGAAUUGUAAAGAAGGAAGAACAUGGAACAAGUUUGUCGUUAAUGAUGGAUUUGUGUUCCGUGCUAACAAGCUAUGCAUUCCAGUUAGCUCCGUUCGUCUUUUGUUGUUGCAGGAGGCGCAUGGAGGAGGACUAAUGGGACACUUUGGCAUGAAGAAGACGGAGGACGUACUUGCUACACAUUUCUUUUGGCCAAAGAUGAGACGGGAUGUUGAGCGUUUUAUUGCUCGCUGCAUUACAUGUCAAAAAGCUAAGUCACGACUCAAUCCUCAUGGUUUAUAUAUGCCUUUGCCUGUACCUAGUGUUCCUUGGGAGGAUAUAUCUAUGGACUUUGUUUUAGGUUUACCUAGAACAAAGAAGGGGAGGGAUAGCAUAUUUGUUGUCGUGGAUAGAUUCUCGAAAAUGGCACACUUUAGACCAUGUCAUAAAAGCGAUUAUGUUGUUAAUGUUGCUGAUUUGUUCUUUCGUGAAAUUAUUCGCUUGCAUGGUGUGCCACAUACUAUUGUUUCAGAUCGUGAUACUAAAUUUCUUAGCCACUUUUGGAGAUGUUUAUGGGCUAACUUGGGGACUAAACUGCUUUUUAGUACUACUUGUCACCCCCAAACUGAUGGACAAACUGAAGUAGUCAAUAGAACAUUGUCUACUAUGCUUAGGGCUGUUUUGAAGAAUAAUAAGAAAAUGUGGGAGGAAUGCUUGUGAUGCGAAGCAUCCUAUGGACAUCACCAUGUCAAGAGUCCAUUUGGCAAGUGACACGUGCCACAUCUACUUCAUGCAUACAAAGGUGAAUCAUCUUCUUUACACGUGUCCACUUGUACCCUUCGAGGAUGGUAUACUACUUGACCCCUCUCUCGUGUGCAUACUUAGGUGUGAGCGGAGCUACACAUUCAUCACGAAGGAGUCCAAGCGCAAUAGAACAACUACACCAGCCAAGACGGAAGCCUGGAAGCGGAGAAGGAAGCACCAAGAAGAAGGCAGCAGCUCCCAGGCGACCCCGUGCUCACGGGCCCCUCCGACCCCGUGCCCACGGGCCUCCCAGGCUGGCGGUCCUGAAGACCCCAUGCGCACGGGCGUGUACCGUGCCCACGGGGCCCCCGUGUCAACGGGCCUCACGGACCCCGUGCGCACGGGCCCUUGCGUCCGGUCCCUGGAUACCCCGUGCGCAUAGGCUCCACUUACCCCGUGCACACGGGGCCCCCUGUGUGAUGCUGCGGGCUUUGCCCAUGUUUUACCAUUUCGCCCCCACUUAUCCCUCUCUUUGCCUAGGACUAUAUAUACUCCUUCAUCUCCUCCAUUUAGACUAAGCUAAGAUUAGAUCAAAACACUAGAGCUUAGCUCAUGUACCUCCCCUUGUGGGAUUUCUCUUGAGAGAGAGACACACUCCAUUGGAGUUCGAGGCCUCCAUUGGAGAAGAUCCCUAGUGGAUGAAGACCCCCUUGAGGGAAGGAUCUAUCUAGAUCAUCAAGCCAUCAUCUCCUUCAUAGGAUUUGGGAUGAACUCUACCAUGUAUCUUAUUUCCCUUUGAUUGUUCAUGUACCUUGUGGAUCUUGUGUGUUUGAUUGUCUAGUGGAUGUGUGAUUUGACUUGUUCUUGAGUGUUCCUCUUGUCUUCCCUAUUUUGUUCAUCUUAUUCUUGGGGAUUCCCCCUCCAAUUCGUGAAAGUUUUCCCCAUAGGGUUCCACCCUACAUCAUCUUGGUAUCAUGAGCCAUGGUUUCUCAAGAAAUUGGAGACCCCCUCUUUCUUUUCUAGCCUAAUUUUGCUUGUUCUUGCCCAAUUUCAAAAAUUCCCCAUAAAAAGAGCCAUAUCAUUUUUUUGUGAUUUGAAGUUUUUGUGAGUUUUUGUUGAUUUUGAUCCAUGGAUCUGAUGUAUAGCAAGUAGAUCUACCCCCGCUUGCGUCCCCAUACCCCAAUUUUUCUUCCCACCUUCGAAUUUGACAAGAAAAUCGCGAAAUUUCCGCCUACCCCAUGCCCACGGGCUCCCCACCCCGUGCCCACGGGCCUCCCCGAAGUCCCUGGAGACCCCCUGUCCUCGGUACGUGUACCGUGUGCAUGGGACCCCAUGUCCACGGGCACUGGACCCCGUACGCACGGCCCCCCUACAGCAUCCGCGAGUACUUCACCGUUUUGGCCGUAACUCUCGCAUCCGAACUCCGAUUUGGGUGUUCUUUGGCUCGUUGAAAAGCUAGCGACGUGCCCGAGCUGCUCAUCUUGGUUUUAGCACCAUUUGACUCCAUCAAAUUUUGUCCAUUUUGCAUCUUUUGCAUUGGCCCUCCGCCAUAACUUUCGCACCACCACAUAAAACUUCCGGAAACUAACCCAUUUUGGUUUCUUUGGUAUUUGUGGUUGUUUGAGUUGUGAUUUGAGUCUCCUAAGGUGUUUCGGCUACUUAGGGACGGUUGCAUCUUCAUCCACCACGAGUGACUUGUAUCGGUCCAUCGACUACAUCCACCACGAGCUUCCACAUCGACGACGACCAUCCAUCCUUUGAGACCAUCUUCAACCGGAAGCAAGGCCGGUUAACCCCGACUUCGUGAAAGGUUAAGUGCGAUGAAGGUAUCCAUUCCGUCAUAAACUUCUCCUUCCUUGCCAUUACAUCUUGAUAGCCCCACCAUCUUUGCGAAUACCUUCAUACCCAUUGAGACUAGCUAUCCGAGUAUUGCCGGGCUUCGCGAAAACUUGUGCACCAUAGUGAUACGAUCGCAUAUUGUUGCAUCAUUGGAUAUAUCAUAUUCUGCCAUUGUUUACUUCCGUGCAUGCCUUGUGAUACUUGUCCCAUAUUUGUGGUUGAGGCUCAUCCAGCAUAGUGGAAAGGAAGAGGAAAGUCAAAAAAAAGAAAGAAAAGCUUUUAAGCAAGAAAGAGAAUGAUCAUAAGCUAAUAAGCAAAGAGUUGAGAAUGAAAGGAGAUACUUGUGCAUGAGGAUACAUGGAAUAGGAAACAUUCUUGUUGCAUACAUAUAGGUUGGUGCCAAGUAG
rnacentral:lncRNA from 1 species